ACAUUUUUGUGAAACGUCAAAUCAAAUGAAAGUCAUUUUUCUUGCGAAUUACGGAUUAUUUUUCAUAGGAUUAAGUUCAUUUUAUCGUGAUUAAUAUUACAUAGAAUCGACAAUAUCUAGUCAAUUAACUGCCGGGACACCAAUCACAACUUUUGGGACGCAGAUACAUGAACUAGGCUUCCCGAUGAUGUCUCUAAAGCCAAGGAACGUGGACUUCCAGGAGACGUGGGCCAACCUCAAAGAAACGGUGGCAGGCGUGGUGGGAUUGCGAGCAGUCGAGCGAGCCGUAUGGAACACUCGCUUCUCGGAUGUCUACGCGUUGUGUGUGGCGCAUCCAGAGCCGCUAGCCGACCGCCUGUACGACGAG